CCUACGGGUGGCUGCAGUGGGGAAUAUUGCACAAUGGGCGCAAGCCUGAUGCAGCGACGCCGCGUGAGCGAUGAAGGCCUUCGGGUCGUAAAGCUCUGUCCUAAGGGAAGAAUAAUGACGGUACCUUAGGAGGAAGCCCCGGCUAACUACGUGCCAGCAGCCGCGGUAAUACGUAGGGGGCGAGCGUUAUCCGGAAUGACUGGGCGUAAAGGGUACGUAGGCGGCUAGAUAAGUCAGAUGUGAAAGGCAUAGGCUUAACCUGUGUAAGCAUUUGAAACUGUCUAGCUUGAGUCAAGGAGAGGAGAGUGGAAUUCCCAGUGUAGCGGUGAAAUGCGUAGAUAUUGGGAGGAACACCAGUUGCGAAGGCGGCUCUCUGGACUGUAACUGACGCUGAGGCACGAAAGCGUGGGGAGCGAACAGGAUUAGAUACCCGUGUAGUC
rnacentral:rRNA from 1 species